rnacentral:rRNA from 1 species
GUAGGGUGCGAGCGUUAAUCGGAAUUACUGGGCGUAAAGCGUGCGCAGGCGGCGGCUCAAGUCAGGUGUGAAAUCCCCGGGCUUAACCUGGGAAUUGCGCUUGAAACUAGGCUCGCUUGAGUGUGGCAGAGGGGGGUGGAAUUCCACGUGUAGCAGUGAAAUGCGUAGAGAUGUGGAGGAACACCGAUGGCGAAGGCAGCCCCCUGGGUCAACACUGACGCUCAGGCACGAAAGCGUGGGGAGCAAACAGGAUUAGAUACCCUGGUAGUCCACGCCCUAAACGAUGCGAACUAGGUGUUGGGGAAGGAGACUUCCUUAGUACCGCAGCUAACGCGUGAAGUUCGCCGCCUGGGGAGUACGGUCGCAAGAUUA